GAAGUGCACUAUUCAAGACAAGAGAUGAAGAUCGUGCUCUUGGUGGUACUCGUUAUUGGCUGCACGCUGUUGUUCACCAUGACGCCACUGGCUGAGGCGGCGGCCCAGCGUUCCCCGUACACCGGGCCCACCAGCUUCCAGGCCCGGCCGCACUGCACGUGCAAGACCUGCUGCAACACCUGCGCCCUGCAGUGCCGUCAGUGCUGCUUCCGCGGCUCCCAGCGUGAGGUCGCCGGAUGAGCGCUGAAGCUGGAGAUCGGACCACAGCAUCAGUGGGACAAAGUGAUUUUUGGCUGGCUUUAAAUUACCGGGAUCAUUACUGCACGAGCAACCUCUGAGGUCGGCAGGCGGGAUCGACGGUGAAGCGUCUUGAGUCGGAGAGGAUAGCAAGAAAAAAUGAGGACAGUGGUGAUCAUGCUGCUGGCGGCGGGCUGCCUGCUGCUGCUGAUGUCUGCCCUGCCCGCCCUGACGUCUGCCGCCGCUGCGCCGCGGGCCGCCCACCCCCUCCUGGCCCCGGAGGGCGGGGGUGGCUGCUGUGACCAGUGCUGCCCCACCUGCAAGCGGUCCUGCUACUACUGCUGCUACGUCUGACGAACUUUGUCGUGAAAUCAUCGUAACAGGCAGCUAAAAACAAGCGGUAGAUCGGGCAGACUUCAGACCGUUGACGCUGCCGGCAAUCCGCUCGUGUUUAAAUGAUAAGCAACUAAUUGGUUGACCGAUGGUGCGUACUGCGUUGCAUCAGCGUUCUUUUAUUACAAUCGAGUUAUUCGAUACGUGUGUCUGUAUUUGUUAUGUGCGACCGCCCUGUGACCGUCCUAAUAUUUUUUGUGUCUAAGGACUAUACUGAAUAUCAAAUAAAUUAUUGCUUGUUAAAAGUA